UGAAAUACUUUGGAAACUUGAAUUUUGGAGUCAAAAUUGACAAUUUCUUUUCUUUACACGAAUACUGUAUGGCCUGGAAUUUGAGAUACAAUGCAUUAUUGCAUACUUUCAGGAUCUCAAGAGGACUUCAAGGGAACUCCCGGCGAAGCGUCUUAGAGCUAAUUUCUCAAACUUUGACUUUUGAUACUUGGUUUGGAAGUGGAAGUUCUGAGACUUAAUUAGUGACCCCCAAAAAUAAUUUUUUCCCACAAGGCUCGAGGCCAAAGAAAGCGCUUGUAUUGAGUGAUUAGUGCCUGAAAGGAUAUCUCAUAUAUAAUUUGAAUUCGAUUCUCUUGAUAAGUAUUUGAUGUAAUUAUUUGAGAACUGAGGACUUUUAUUUUAUUCGGGGAAUGAUACCCUUACUUGAGAUUUGUAAUGUAUCUUAUCUCGUUCUAA